rnacentral:rRNA from 1 species
CCUACGGGUGGCAGCAGUGGGGGAUAUUGCACAAUGGGGGGAACCCUGAUGCAGCGACGCCGCGUGGGUGAAGGAGUGCUUCGGCAUGUAAAGCCCUAUCGGCAGGGAAGAAUCAAGACGGUACCUGACUAAGAAGCACCGGCUAACUACGUGCCAGCAGCGGCGGUAAUACGUAGGGGGCGAGCGUUAUCCGGAUUCACUGGGUGUAAAGGGAGCGUAGACGGGCAAGCAAGCCAGGGGUGAAAGCCCGGGGCCCAACCCCGGGACUGCCCUUGAAACUGCAUGGCGGGAGUGCGGGUGGGGCAGGCGGAAUGUGUGGUGGAGCGGUGAAAUGCGUAGAUAUCAGGAGGAACACCGGCGGCGAAGGCGGCCCGCUGGACCGCGACUGACGUUGAGGCUCGAAAGCGUGGGGAGCGAACAGGAUUAGAUACCCUUGUAGUC